GGAAAAGGAAAAAAGACUACAAAAGUUGUUAUUAUGCCUAAAAUAACUAAAGCUAUAAAAGAUCAUGUGUCAACCUACAAAGACCUGCUAGAUAAAAAUAAAUAAAAAAGAAAAUCUCAAAAAAAAAGAAAAGAAGAAAAUGAAUAGUUUUAGGGUGCAAUAUGCAUGUACUGUGCAUAUAUAAAUACAAAGAAAAACAAUAAUGGAAAAAAA
rnacentral:misc_RNA from 1 species